GAUGAACCACUUCGGUGGGGAUUAGUGGCGAACGGGUGAGUAACACGUGGGCAAUCUGCCCUUCACUCUGGGACAAGCCCUGGAAACGGGGUCUAAUACCGGAUACAACACUCUCGGGCAUCCGAUGAGUGUGGAAAGCUCCGGCGGUGAAGGAUGAGCCCGCGGCCUAUCAGCUUGUUGGUGAGGUAAUGGCUCACCAAGGCGACGACGGGUAGCCGGCCUGAGAGGGCGACCGGCCACACUGGGACUGAGACACGGCCCAGACUCCUACGGGAGGCAGCAGUGGGGAAUAUUGCACAAUGGGCGAAAGCCUGAUGCAGCGACGCCGCGUGAGGGAUGACGGCCUUCGGGUUGUAAACCUCUUUCAGCAGGGAAGAAGCGAAAGUGACGGUACCUGCAGAAGAAGCGCCGGCUAACUACGUGCCAGCAGCCGCGGUAAUACGUAGGGCGCGAGCGUUGUCCGGAAUUAUUGGGCGUAAAGAGCUCGUAGGCGGUCUGUCGCGUCGGAUGUGAAAGCCCGGGGCUUAACCCCGGGUCUGCAUUCGAUACGGGCAGACUAGAGUGUGGUAGGGGAGAUCGGAAUUCCUGGUGUAGCGGUGAAAUGCGCAGAUAUCAGGAGGAACACCGGUGGCGAAGGCGGAUCUCUG
rnacentral:rRNA from 1 species